rnacentral:rRNA from 1 species
AUUGAACGCUGGCGGCAUGCUUUACACAUGCAAGUCGAACGGCAGCGCGGGCUUCGGCCUGGCGGCGAGUGGCGAACGGGUGAGUAAUACAUCGGAACGUGCCCAGUAGUGGGGGUAGCUCGGCGAAAGCCGGAUUAAUACCGCAUACGACCUGAGGGUGAAAGCGGGGGAUCUUCGGACCUCGCGCUAUUGGAGCGGCCGAUGGCAGAUUAGCUAGUUGGUGGGGUAAAGGCCUACCAAGGCGACGAUCUGUAGCUGGUCUGAGAGGACGACCAGCCACACUGGGACUGAGACACGGCCCAGACUCCUACGGGAGGCAGCAGUGGGGAAUUUUGGACAAUGGGCGAAAGCCUGAUCCAGCAAUGCCGCGUGUGUGAUGAAGGCCUUCGGGUUGUAAAGCACUUUUGGCGGGAACGAAAAGGACUGUGCCAAUACCACGGUUCGAUGACGGUACCCGCAGAAUAAGCACCGGCUAACUACGUG